GAUGAACGCUGGCGGCGUGCCUAAUACAUGCAAGUCGAGCGAACGGACGAGAAGCUUGCUUCUCUGAUGUUAGCGGCGGACGGGUGAGUAACACGUGGAUAACCUACCUAUAAGACUGGGAUAACUUCGGGAAACCGGAGCUAAUACCGGAUAAUAUUUUGAACCGCAUGGUUCAAAAGUGAAAGACGGUCUUGCUGUCACUUAUAGAUGGAUCCGCGCUGCAUUAGCUAGUUGGUAAGGUAACGGCUUACCAAGGCAACGAUGCAUAGCCGACCUGGGAGAGUGAUCGGCCACACUGGAACUGAGACACGGUCCAGACUCCUACGGGGGGCAGCAGUAGGGAAUCUUCCGCAAUGGGCGAAAGCCUGACGGAGCAACGCCGCGUGAGUGAUGAAGGUCUUCGGAUCGUAAAACUCUGUUAUUAGGGAAGAACAUAUGUGUAAGUAACUGUGCACAUCUUGACGGUACCUAAUCAGAAAGCCACGGCUAACUACGUG
rnacentral:rRNA from 1 species